rnacentral:rRNA from 1 species
AGUGAACGCUGGCGGUAGGCCUAACACAUGCAAGUCGAACGGCAGCACAGUAAGAGCUUGCUCUUACGGGUGGCGAGUGGCGGACGGGUGAGGAAUACAUCGGAAUCUACUUUUUCGUGGGGGAUAACGUAGGGAAACUUACGCUAAUACCGCAUACGAACUACGGGUGAAAGCAGGGGAUCUUCGGACCUUGCGCGAUUGAAUGAGCCGAUGUCGGAUUAGCUAGUUGGCGGGGUAAAGGCCCACCAAGGCGACGAUCCGUAGCUGGUCUGAGAGGAUGAUCAGCCACACUGGAACUGAGACACGGUCCAGACUCCUACGGGAGGCAGCAGUGGGGAAUAUUGGACAAAGGGCGCAAGCCUGAUCCAGCCAUACCGCGUGGGUGAAGAAGGCCUUCGGGUUGUAAAGCCCUUUUGUUGGGAAAGAAAAGCAGCAGGUUAAUACCCCGCUGCUCUGACGGUACCCAAAGAAUAAGCACCGGCUAACUUCGUG